AAUACAUGAUGACCUUCUUUGGUCAUUCUUUAGAGCCUCACUUGGAAAUAGUAUAUGUGUACGAGUAUGUGCAUACCGCAAUUUUUCUUCUUCUGUUAUAUUAUGGCUUCUACCUUUUAUCUAUCGGUGAUUUAAAAUUUAUCUACAAUAUAGAAAACAAAUCAUUUUUAUUUUCCUUAACAAAAUUCCUUCGAUACAUACCAAAAAUGUCAUAUAUUGCCAUUAAAAAAACACUUGACAAGUCGACAGCGACAGAUGACCUGCUAUUUCAAUAAUAAAUACAUAACCUAAAAUUUUAAAUUAGAGUAAAUAGUAGUUUUUGUUUAAUAUAAACAUAACUUUGUUCUGCUUGGUAUUACAUUACAUAUUACAUUAAUAAAUUUAUUGUGUUACAACUUACAGAAACAGAAAAUCUACAGACCCUAGUACUUACUGCUUUCAAAACAUUAAACAUGGUAUCUGAGAUGAAAUUCAUUAUAUCAGAAAACGAAAAAGUAAUCCAUACUAUAACUAAAGAAACAAAUUCACUGACUCUAGUAAAAACAUUGGAAGAGUUUCAACAUGCAGUGAACACAAAACUAACCAAGAUGAUUGAGGAACUUGGUGGUACUGUAGGUGAUGAAGACAUGGAAAGUGAAAGUGAAGAUUGUGAUGAUGAUGAGAAUGAAGACAUAUCAAUAUUACCCAAAAAAAGGAGAAAAUAAAGUUAUGUAAUUUUUUUUAAAUUUUAUAUGUGUAAAUAUGAAAAUAAAAGUACUGAUAAACUAAAUAAAUUAAA